rnacentral:rRNA from 1 species
CCUACGGGAGGCAGCAGUGAGGAAUAUUGGUCAAUGGACGAGAGUCUGAACCAGCCAAGUAGCGUGAAGGAUGACUGCCGCAUGGGUUGUAAACUUCUUUUAUAUGGGAAUAAAAUGUUCCACGUGUGGGAUUUUGUAUGUACCAUAUGAAUAAGGAUCGGCUAACUACGUGCACGCAGCCGCGGUAAUACGGAGGAUCCGAGCGUUAUCCGGAUUUAUUGGGUUUAAAGGGAGCGUAGGUGGAUUGUUAAGUCAGUUGUGAAAGUUUGCGGCUCAACCGUAAAAUUGCAGUUGAAACUGGCAGUCUUGAGUACAGUAGAGGUGGGCGGAAUGCGUGGUGUAGCGGGGAAAUGCUUAGAUAUCACGAAGAACUCCGAUUGCGAAGGCAGCUCACUGGACUGCAACUGACACUGAGGCUCGAAAGUGUGGGUAUCAAACAGGAUUAGAUACCCGUGUAGUC